CACUUCUCAGGGUUGUACCUGGCUAGUUUCCAGUACUCUACCAGUCUCGACUAUGGGAGGGAGAGUCAAGCAGAGACCUACCCAUUCCAUUCCUAGCUUGGGCAGUGGCUAGCAAGUGGAAGGCAAUCUGCUCCAAGU